AGUGAACGCGACCUUUUAGCUUAGGUUCGGCGAGUGUAACGACGGUUUGUAAAACUGUAGUGGCGUACAGGCGAAGAAUAGGUUUGAACCAAAAUUUCAGCUCAGGUAAUCCUGGUCAAAAACAAGAAAUUGUUAACAAUAGAGAAUAUCGCUGUUAGUCGGGCAAGCUGGGGAUUAUGUUGUAGGUGGGGUAAUGGCCUACCUAGCAAACGAUCCAUAGUUGGUUUGGGAGAACGGACAACCGCAUCGGAAAUGGAAAACUUCGAACAAAUUCAUUUGUAAGCCAUCAGGAAUAGGGUGACAAGAAGCGCAAGCUCAAUCCCGCUGAAAGAACGUGUGACAAGAAGGGAUUUUCCGUAAAGCACUAAUUGCAAUUAAGAUAAUGACAUGACAUUGCAUAAUAUAGUACCGGCUAAUUCUGUGCCAGCAGCCGCCGUAAU
rnacentral:rRNA from 1 species